CCUUUACCUGAGAUAUGCAUUUUACAGUUGUUGUGAGGCAGCUUUUUGGUGGAAGAAGAAAAGACCAGCUCUUAGAAAUGGGAUCUGAAAUAAAAGUGACAAAUGGGACAUUCCUACAGCAUCUUGCUCCAGGGACAGCAUCAGAUGUGGAGGUUGGCUGGGGCAGCACACCUGCCAAGCCAUAACACAGGUCUCUUAAGGUGAGCUCAGGGAGGAUGGAAAACCCUUGUGGAGGAGAAGGGCAAAAGCUUGCUUGAUAUUGACUUUAAUUACAAAUACAGACUGUGAAAAGGGGCCUCAUGAUCCUUGUGUCUUUCUGGGUUUUUCCCAAGAUCCCAAA
rnacentral:ncRNA from 1 species